rnacentral:lncRNA from 1 species
CGGCCACUAGGCCGUCGCCGGCAGAUACGGUCAGCCACAGCCUGCCGACGUCGUCUGCUGUGCAUACGAACAACAACGUAGCGUUUAACGUUCUUCGUCUCGCUAAAAUCGUCCGUAAGCCUGCCCGUCGUACCGGCUGCAAGCGUGCUCGUGCAGCUGCAACGUCGACAACGACGGGAGCAUGCCAGGCGAACAUUGAUUACAUCCCUUUACUCUAGCGUCUACAUCCGCCACCCUGUUUCCCGAUACCACCCUUCACCACGUCUCCACCUCGUCUCAUCUAUCAUUCGCUUCCGCCAACCAUCCGUCGCCACCUUCCACACCUGUUAAAAACCUCAUCCAACAUAUCUCCACUCCCCAUCUAGCACCCCCACCCCAACCACCGGACCACCCUUCACCACCUCGAUCCCACAUAGUUCAUCUUAUCACCCACUUUUCACAACCCCCAAGUGGACUGGCGCACCAGCACCGCCACCAGCGGCAACACCGUCAUUCCCCAUUCCCCCUGCCGCUUGCAUCCAGUAUUCCACAUCAGCCGCCUCCUCCCAUGGACGGACAACGACCCAGCGCUCUUUCCCGGCCGCCCACCACCUCCACCUGCAGCCCCUACUGCACUAGAAUCCCCGUAUGACAGUGCAGAUACCGUUGUUACAGCUGUUCGCCUAGGGUAUAACAAGCGCGCACGCCCGUCCGUCAUGUUCCUCGUGCAGUGGUCCGCAAGUAGUAAACGCGACCCCUCAUGGGAACCAUACGACGACGUGCACAACCUGCCAGCGCUUCGUGCCUUCCUGAGGAGCCCAAGCUGGACCGCGUUCAGGCUAUCAGAUCGCUAUGCGUGGUUCAGAGCCAAGUUCCCGGAGCAUGCCCCAAGGAUCGUACAGUUUUUGGCAGAGUAGAGCUGCGGCUGGAUGUGUGUGUGUGUGUCAUCAUGUGUAUUCGGUAUAUCUGUGCGUCUUCGUUCUGUUCCUGUCCGUAGAUUACACCAGUCAGUUCAACGUAGUGUGGUAUUACAUUUCACGGUGUGUUCGCGUCUGGGUAUUUGGGUUCCGUGUGGUCAGAUUUAAGUCGUUUUCGUAGCAGCUUUUGCGUAUUUCCGGAUUCUUAAGCCGGAUAUGGUAGGAGUCGUGCGCCACAUUUUAGGCCGGUAUCCAGUGCGGGGAAGGUUUUGCCUUGACUCCGGUUCCCUUUUGCCUUCCCCUCGUUAGCCUGGUACCGAUUUCGUUCAGGGAAUCGGAGAGGCGCACGACUAUGGCCGCUUAGUGACGUUUUCGCACCGAGGACGGUGCUUGUUUUUAAGGAGGGGAGUGUGUAAGGUUUUGCAGUUCGUUAGCGCGCGCUUCUGAGACCAUGUCGAAACUUCGGAGCUAGUGGAGCUUGAUCCUGUGGUUCUCCGUGUGAGACAAUGGCGCGCUAUUAUGAUUAUUUAAGCGGACCAUUUUAUGAACAUUGUAAGUCUAAGUUGAUAUUGAAAAGCCCGAUCUUCUGUGCUUACGCAAGUAUAUCGGCCAGUAAAGUCAGCUUACGCUUCCCAGUUGUUAGGAGCGGCCUGGUUCCCUUUCAAUUAGUUUCUUAUUGCUUGCAUGAUUUGCUGAGCCAGGUGUGAGAUUUUUUGAACUUAAUGUUAAGUGUGCGGCCUAGUGGAAAUACCCUGUUAGGUGUUUUGGGUGUCUUCGGUAUUUUACUUGCCUUAGCUGCUUUAGACUUAUAAGUAUAUAUGCUUUUGUGCGUAAACGUUAUAUGGUAAAUGGUCAAGAUGUAGG